rnacentral:lncRNA from 1 species
UACAUACAAAUAUAAGAAACAAAAUUUUUCUGAAGCAGUGCUUUCUAUACUACAUGUGAUAUCUGCUGUUUCUGUCGAAUUUGUUCAGGGAUAAAAUGUUGGUUACAAUCUGGUAAAUUGAUUUCAUAAUCCAGUGUUACAAAGUUCUCUUUCUUAUCUAUCUUGUGUCAGUUUUCCCUGCUCAUGUAUGUAUCUUUUAAAAAUAAAUUAAUCUUUUUUUUUUUUACCAUGCAAGUUUCUACCAAAACUGUCUUAGAGGACAUGGUAGUCUUCCUCUGACUCAUCUGUCCAUGUUCCUUUCAUUGUAUUACCAGAAACAAAUGAAGUUCCUGGUUGAUACAGCUAUUUCAGACAGCUGUUUCAGUAACUCAAAACAGAUGUCAGAGCCAGAGGUCUGACAUUUAGUGGAAAUGUGUUAUUAAAUACCACCUUGUGGUUUGUUUUACCAGACUAGUUAAUUUCCAACAGAGGAAAAGCUUUAUUGUAGAAAGAAAUUAAAACAGCCAUAAAUUUAGAAAAUAAACAGAUAAAGUGUGUUACUGUAUUCCUUGAAUUUACAACAUCUGUGCCACCCCUAAACCUGGACCAGACGGUAUCUAAAUUUUACCUUUCAUUUCCAGAGUGCUUAGAAGCACACAGAAGUUAGGUUCCUUUUUCAUAGCCAUUCAGCAGGUUAAAUUAGGCCUCUAAUAGUAUCUAAAUGUUUUUGCUCAGCCGUUAUUGAGAUUAAUAAAUACAGCAUGCUUCUCUGCUUAGUGCUAAGCCAUGGCCAUCUCUAUUCUGAAUAUUAGUUAAUAUAGACUGCAGCACAUCCAAGGUUUGCAUGUGUGCUCAUUUAAGUCUGGGAUUUUAUCUUUCAUUGUUAGUCUUUAGUAUAGUUCGUUGUUCGUAAUCGAGUGUCCUGUGUACCUUAGCCAGUUUCUGUCUGAUCUGUUUAUCUAUCUAUGAUCUGCCCCUCUUUAAGUAUAUGAAAACAUUGACUUAUAGCAUAGUAGAUAUCCCCUACUCUAAAACACUUACCAUUAUUGCAUAGAAACACUAUGUGAAUGGAGCAAGAAAUACACAUCAUUUAAGAUGAAACACCUUAAGCACUGUUAUCAUGUGUCUCUGAUCAUUUAGUGGCCUUCAAAUGUAGAUAUCUAUGUACAAAUAUGCACAUUAAUGAAAGAAGUGCUUUCUUAGUGACAUGGUAUUGGACUUUGUAAAAUGAAGUGCUCCCUUGUACAGGUUAAUAAAUGAUAUCAUAUAAGACAAUCUUAGUGCAUAAGACAAUCAAGAAAAUACUAUUUGAGGAUUUCUUCUACCUCUGAAAUUUCAUGCUUAUUGACCUAUUCCACAGAAUAUUAUCACUAACAGUCUGUGGUAUACUCUUUACUUUUUAUACCACUCCUACCCAAAUAAGCUCACAUACAUUCUGCCAAAUGCUCCAAAAUAACUAAUCUUACAAACAGUUUUUUUUAAAACCUGCUAUUUUGUAAUAUUGAAAUCUUCUUCUAUAGCUCUUUUAUGGGCAAGAAAUAAAACAAUUAAACAAAAUAGAUGGUGCAGGUCAUUGCUGGAGCACAUGUGUAGCAUGAACAAGGGCCUAAGUUCCAUCCCCAGCAUUAAAAAACAAACAAACAAAAAGGUGGGCAGGGUCUGGGGAAUUAGCUCAGCAGUUAAGAACAUUGGCUUCUUUGCCAGAGAAUCCGGGUUAGAUUUCCAGCACCUAUGUGGUGACUCACAAUCUUCUGUAAUGCCAGUUUCAGGGGUAUCUGAUGCCCUAUUCUGGACUCUGCAGGCACCAGACAUGCAUAUUGUACAGAGACAUACAUACAGGCAAAAUACCCAUGCACAUAAAAUAAAAUACAAUUUUUAAAAGUCAGGCAGAAGCAUAAUAUACCACCACCACUCAGCAAGCCGCAGUGUUUAGUAGCCACAUCCACAAAGGGUAUGGUAAAUUAUCCAUUUAUACUGGAGACCCACAAUCUGCAAAUUUUGAGCUCUGUCAGGCCCACUGCUGUUUGUAGAAAUGAAGGUUAUUGGGACAUAGCCACAUCCAUUCAUUUGUAUAGAAUUCAUGAUUUCUUGAAAAGCAGAGUAGUAGUUACCAAGUUGAGUAGUUGCUGCAGUGACUAUGUGGUUCAUAAAUCUGAAAGUAUUUACCACCUGGUCCUUUGCAGAAAAAGUUUGGUCCGCCUUGCUUGGCACUUUUAUCUUGUGUCCAUUUAGACGCCUUAUAUGUGCACACCUGCAAGCAAUAUGGCUCAGCUUUCCAGCUCAGCAAAGCUGUGGAGAGGCAUUGUUUUGUGCAUUUAUAUCUGUACACCAGAAAGCCUGCACAUUCAGAAAAGUACAGUCAUUUGAAUCAUGUUUGAGUAGUAGUAAAAUAGAAACCCCAAAAUGAUUAUCAGCCUUAAAUCCUAACCCUUAGCUUUUUCUUAAACCGCUAGUGAGCCAAGAAAGCUAAAGCCCCCCCCCCCAGAACAAAAUCAUUUUUCCCAAUUCUUUCUCUGAAACCAUGAGUUCUAGUCAAUAACGUCAAAUUCUUGUUGCUUCAGGAAAUUAGACUUCCCCAGACCCAACUAAGCUCCUGAUUUAUACCUAGGACUACCCCAGCACACCUCCUUUUUCUCUUGAUUCGUUUCCUGAUAACAUACCACAUUGCCAGAAGGACACCCUAACUGAAGAUCUAUGGAAACAUUCUAAAGGACAUAUUUAUGAAAUAGAAACUUCAAGUGGAUACUUGCAUUUUAAAAUGUUGGAGCUCGAGACAAAGGGCCUUUUCUUUUGUAGACUAUUUUUGAGCCUAUAGAUAACCAAGUGUCAAGAGACGAUUUGGAGAGAAAUUAGGGUUUCAUACAAUAUGACUUCUGACAAAGUACCCGGGACAGAUCAAAUACAGAUAACUGCAUCAUAUUCAGCAAAAACCAGUUGACAUAUAGCUCAGUAUACAAUUAAUAAAGAUUUAUAACCUUGGUCACAAUAAAAUGUUGAAAGUAAAUCAUAUAGUUUUCUUACAACCCUGUCCUUGCCUAACGUUCUGAAGUCUAAAAACAAACUUUGGAAUCUAACCUCUAAGGCAGCAGUUCUCAGCCUGAGGGUUGCAAACCCUUUUCGCGUCAAAGGGUCCUUUUACAGAGGUUACACAUCAGAUAUCCUGCAUAUCAUAUAUUGACAUUAUGAUUUAUAACAGAAGCAAAAUUACAGUUAUGAAGCAAUAACAAAAUACUUUUGUGGUUGGGGUCUCUACAGCAGGAGGAACUGUAUAAAAGGUUGCAGCAUGACAAAGGUUGAGAGCUCAUAUUCGGAUGACUCAUAAACUGGCCCUAUCAGGACAUGCUCCUCUUCUAGAAGAAAGGGCAAACUAUUCCCUAGAGUAUAGACCCAUGUCUUUUGUGGGGUUCUGCUUUGACACACAAUCAACAACUUUUGAUAUUUAAUACAUCCAUUGUCAAGUCAAAAAUAAAGAGAUUAUGAGACGACUGAAUGGCAAACUUGAGAUUCUAUUAUAGUCGCCCUUGAAAACAAUGGCCCCAUUUGUCAAAUUCCUAUUCUGUGUGAUUUUUAUCCAGUUUAACGUGUGAAAUUUAUGGAUACUACAAAUGAUGCCUUUUGGGUCCCUGUUAUCUGUUUACACUGACUUUAAGUGUAUGUAAAGGUUAUUUGACUGGAAGUGUCUGUGGGAUUUCCUGUUUCUUUUUUUUUUUUUUUCUCUAAGGGAGUAAAUGCAUUGUCACCUCAACAUCUGUUUGGAAAAAGAAGCAAAUUUGUAUAUAAAACUGUAUAUUUAUGCGUGUUUUAUUUUUCCUUUCUGAUCUAUCUGCCUCUUCCUCUCUCUAUUAUUAAAGGAAGAAAUGCCCCCGGAAAGCCAAUGAGAGAGGUUAGUGAGACUCAGGCGCACAGCCAUGGCUUCUGUCUGUCUCAUCCUGCUUUCUGUGUCUGGCCUUUGUGUAAGAACUGUGUGUGUGUGUGUGCGCGUGCACGCGCAUGUGUGUAUUACACAUUCUGUCAUCAUCCCUGCUCCACUUGCAGCUCAUGAGGAGAAUUCCUCAAAUGUUCAUUGCCGUUGUCAUCUCCAUGAUGACAGCAGCAGGGGUCGGGGGAACUGGAGGCUCUCAAAUAUGGUAAUCCUCUCUAGUCCCUAGGUUGGAACCUUGCAGUUAGGCAUCUGUUGCCAUCUGCACGACAAACAGAAUAUUCAAAUUAAGUUUCACCUUGAACAUUACUGAUGAGUCAUAAAGCUUCCUUCCGUUUCCAGGACCUGGGCAUUUACUACCAGGGUCUUGGGGUUUGAUUCUUCUGAGAUGAUUACUACCUUUUAUUUUGUUUUGUUUUUCCCCUCUUUUCCUGGUUCCUACACUUCUCCAUUUCCAUUUUAGCUAAGAUUUGUUUGAGCAUGUACAGUAUGCCAAGCACGGUUGUGGGCAGUUGCCAUUCAUUUCCCUAUCAUGUAAUGGUCAUGACAAACCUACGAGGUAGGUAUUCUUCUGAGCUCUGUUUUUCACACUUAAGGUAACUGAAUCACAGAGUGUGUAAGCAAAGUGUCCAGAGUGGCAGAGCCAAAGGAAGAAUCCAGGAAGCCUGGCUUCAAAGCCACAUUAGUAAUCUCAGUGCUGGAAAGGCUACAUCGUCUCAACGUUCCCUUUAGAAGACUCGCUUUUUAUUUGGCAUUUGGAUCCAAACAGAAUAGUAACCCAUUAGGUUAAAUCAAUGAAUGUUGGGGUGUUGAUUUGUUGUUUCAAUAUAUUUUAAACGGUUGGAAUGAAUAGGGUACGGCAUUCACACUGAAUAAACUUUGAGUUCUUACAGUGAAAGCUGCUUCUUCAUCUUACGCUAUUAUCUGAACAUUGACUUACCUACUCAAGUGGCCGCUGGGUGGCAAAGUGUUAAGUGUCAGUCCAAGUCGAAUAAGAUUGCCCUAAACAAGAUUUUCAUGUGAGGAGAGAGGCAGGCCAGCUCUCCUAAGAGAUGCCAAUGGCAUGUGUGCUGUUCUGAGAGAUAAGCUGGACAAGUAGAAUAUUCUUGCAUAUGAUCUGCAUCCUUAGCACAGAGAUGGACACUGAUACAUUUAAACAUAAGCAGUCAUGGGUCUGGAGAGAUGGCUCAGCAAUUAAGUGUUCUAGCAGAGGACCCAUAUUCAGUUCCCAGUACUGUUAUCCAGAGGCUCAAAUCCACCUGUAACUCCAUCUCCAGGGGAACCAAUAAGCCUCCAAUAAUACCAUCUCUCAUAAGUACACAUAGUUUAAAACAUUAGAAAAUAGUAUAAAUCUUUCUUAAAAAAAAACAAACUAAGUAGCCAUACUAGAUAUUCUGCCAAUUCUAUGCAGUUAUAAUAAAUUUCAUGGUUCUCACAGACGUCCUUUCAAAAAGAGGGAACAGAAUUGCAGGGAGGGAAUAGGAGCUUGGAGGAGAAGUUCAGAAAAUUUGAAUCAGUGAUGCAUUGAAUGCUCCUGACUCAUGUACUUAGUCUGUGAAACUUCUUGGUUAAUUUUAGUGGUGAGUGGCCACCUUCAGUUUUAACGUUGUUUUGUGGGAAAGAAAUGCAUCCUAACGUUAACUCCCUGAACAUGUUUUAUCCGUGAAUAAAUAUUUUUAAAGUCUAGCAGAUUGAAUUGAAUCAGUGACUACUACCCAAGAUUCAGGACAGUGAGAUGAGCUCCCAGAUGUCACAACAGUGUCACAACCAUAAUGACAUUAUAUAGCUAUGAAAACACCCUAAACUCACGUUAAGGCCAAAUAUUUUAUUUUCAGAGAUGAAGUUACAGAGAGGAAAAGAUAAGCCUAUUUCGCUGUGGUAGUCUGGCUUUUCUUUGGCCAAUUGAAUGCUAACCAUUUAUUUGGGAAUUGUAUUU